rnacentral:rRNA from 1 species
GAUGAACGCUGGCGGCGUGCCUAAUACAUGCAAGUCGAGCGAAUGGAUUAAGAGCUUGCUCUUAUGAAGUUAGCGGCGGACGGGUGAGUAACACGUGGGUAACCUGCCCAUAAGACUGGGAUAACUCCGGGAAACCGGGGCUAAUACCGGAUAACAUUUUGAACCGCAUGGUUCGAAAUUGAAAGGCGGCUUCGGCUGUCACUUAUGGAUGGACCCGCGUCGCAUUAGCUAGUUGGUGAGGUAACGGCUCACCAAGGCAACGAUGCGUAGCCGACCUGAGAGGGUGAUCGGCCACACUGGGACUGAGACACGGCCCAGACUCCUACGGGAAGCAGCAGUAGGGAAUCUUCCGCAAUGGACGAAAGUCUGACGGAGCAACGCCGCGUGAGUGAAGAAGGCUUUCGGGUCGUAAAACUCCGUUGUUAGGGAAGAACAAGUGCUAGUUGAAUAAGCUGGCACCUUGACGGUACCUAACCAGAAAGCCACGGCUAACUACGUGCCAGCCGCCGCAGUAA